rnacentral:rRNA from 1 species
CAGUCGCCGCGGUAAUACAGAGGGUGCAAGCGUUAAUCGGAAUUACUGGGCGUAAAGCGCGCGUAGGUGGUUUGUUAAGUUGGAUGUGAAAGCCCUGGGCUCAACCUGGGAAUUGCAGUGGAUACUGGGUCACUAGAGUGUGGUAGAGGAUAGUGGAAUUUCCGGUGUAGCAGUGAAAUGCGUAGAGAUCGGAAGGAACAUCUGUGGCGAAGGCGACUAUCUGGGCCAUUACUGACACUGAGGCACGAAAGCGUGGGGAGCAAACAGGAUUAGAUACCCCAGUAGUCCCUGUCUCUUAUAC